CAAGCAGAUGUGUGCUCCGAAAGCAGAGACUCCAGGCUGAAGGAGAUGCUCCAGCAGGGGGAGUCAUGAAGAACACAUGAAGUGUGGAGCUGAAGGACAAGCGGUGAAGAGAGGAGCCGUGAGUGCUGCCUCAUCAGGACAGUGACCUGAGCACUCUGUUUCUGCAUCAGUGCUUGGCUUUGGCCGUGUGAUUGAAGUAGAAGCAGCCUACAGUUCUGGCCACAGCUACCCAAGUGAGGACUGAUGUCCUCUUCCUGACAAACUGAUACCAGCUAUCAAGAGAAGAUCUCUAAGAACCAGUCCGUCCUACAGAAAACCUGGAAAGAGAUGGGUCAAGAGAUGGGACAGUCAUCAGGUCACCUGGUACUCCAACUGCAGGUGGUCGUGAGGUUUAACUUAACUCAAGUCCUCUGGAAGGCAAGCGCUCUGAACUACUGAGCAAUCUGUCUCAAAUGUGUCCCCAAAAGACACCUUUACAGCAAGGCCA
rnacentral:lncRNA from 1 species